AUUGAACGCUGGCGGCAUGCUUUACACAUGCCAGUCGAACGGUAACAGGCCUUCGGGUGCUGACGAGUGGCGAACGGGUGCGUAAUGCAUCGGAACGUGCCCAGAGGUGGGGGAUAACGCAGCGAAAGCUGUGCUAAUACCGCAUGUGAUCUGAGGAUGGAAGCGGGGGACCAAGCAGCAAUGUUUGGCCUCGCGCCUCUGGAGCGGCCGAUGUCAGAUUAGGUAGUUGGUGGGGUAAAGGCCUACCAAGCCGACGAUCUGUAGCUGGUCUGAGAGGACGACCAGCCACACUGGGACUGAGACACGGCCCAGACUCCUACGGGAGGCAGCAGUGGGGAAUUUUGGACAAUGGGCGCAAGCCUGAUCCAGCAAUGCCGCGUGCGGGAAGAAGGCCUUCGGGUUGUAAACCGCUUUUGUACGGAACGAAAAGGCUCUGGCUAAUACCUGGGGCUGAUGACGGUACCGUAAGAAUAAGCACCGGCUAACUACGUG
rnacentral:rRNA from 1 species